GAUGAAGAACGUAGCGAAAUGCGAUAAGUAGUGUGAAUUGCAGAAUUCAGUGAAUCAUCGAAUCUUUGAACGCACAUUGCGCCCUUUGGUAUUCCAAAGGGCAUGCCUGUUCGAGCGUCAUUUGUACCCUCAAGCUUUGCUUGGUGUUGGGCGUCUUGUCUCUAGCUUUGCUGGAGACUCGCCUUAAAGUAAUUGGCAGCCGGCCUACUGGUUUCGGAGCGCAGCACAAGUCGCACUCUCUAUCAGCAAAGGUCUAGCAUCCAUUAAGCCUUUUUUUCAACUUUUGACCUCGGAUCAGGUAGGGAUACCCGCUAAACUUAAGCAUAUCAAUAAGCGGAGGA
rnacentral:misc_RNA from 1 species